rnacentral:rRNA from 1 species
AACGAACGCUGGCGGCAUGCCUAACACAUGCAAGUCGAACGAGAUCUUCGGGUCUAGUGGCGCACGGGUGCGUAACGCGUGGGAAUCUGCCCUUUGGUUCGGAAUAACAGUUGGAACGACUGCUAAUACCGGAUGAUGACGAAAGUCCAAAGAUUUAUCGCCAGAGGAUGAGCCCGCGUAGGAUUAGCUAGUUGGUGUGGUAAAGGCGCACCAAGGCGACGAUCCUUAGCUGGUCUGAGAGGAUGAUCAGCCACACUGGGACUGAGACACGGCCCAGACUCCUACGGGAGGCAGCAGUGGGAAAUAUUGGACAAUGGGCGAAAGCCUGAUCCAGCAAUGCCGCGUGAGUGAUGAAGGCCUUAGGGUUGUAAAGCUCUUUUACCCGGGAUGAUAAUGACAGUACCGGGAGAAUAAGCUCCGGCUAACUCCGUGCCAGCAGCCGCCGUAA